UACGGAAGGGGCAAGCGUUGUUCGGAAUCAUUGGGCGUAAAGGGCGCGUAGGUGGUUCUGUAUGUCUACCGUGAAAGCGUACGGCUCAACCGUAUUUUGUCGGUGGAAACUGCAGGACUUGAGGCUGGGAGGGGCUGGUGGAAUUCCCUGUGUAGCGGUGAAAUGCGUAGAGAUCGGGAGGAACACCCGUAGCGAAGGCGGCCACCUGGGCCGACCCUGACGCUGAGGCGCGAAAGCUAGGGGAGCGAACAGG
rnacentral:rRNA from 1 species